AUGGGUUGUUGGCCGGCGCCCCCCCUCCCAGGGGGCCUAUAUAAAGGGGGGAGGGAGGGCAGCAAUACCACAGCCUUUGGCGCCUCCCUCCUCCCCUGCAACACCUCUCCCUCUCGCAGAAGCUUGGCGAAGCCCUGCCGAGAUCCCGCUACAUCCACCACCACGCCGUCGUGCUGCUGGAUCUCCAUCAACCUCUCCUUCUCCCUUGCUGGAUCAAGAAGGAGGAGACGUCGCUGCUCCGUACGUGUGUUGAACGCGGAGGUGUCGUCCGUUCGGCACUCGGUCAUCGGUGAUUUGGAUCACGGCGAGUACGACUCCAUCAACCUCGUUCAUUGGAACGCUUCCGCUCGCGAUCUACAAGGGUAUGUAGAUGCACUCCUUUCCCCUCGUUGCUAG
rnacentral:rRNA from 1 species